rnacentral:rRNA from 1 species
AUACUGAGGGUGCGAGCGUUAAUCGGAAUUACUGGGCGUAAAGCGCGCGUAGGCGGCUUAUGAAGUCAGAUGUGAAAUCUCCGGGCUCAACUUGGGAACUGCAUCUGAUACUGGUAAGCUAGGGUUUUGGAGAGGGAAGUAGAAUUUCAGGUGUAGCGGUGAAAUGCAUAGAGAUCUGAAGGAAUACCAGUGGCGAAGGCGACUUCCUGGCCAAAAACUGACGCUGAGGUGCGAAAGCGUGGGUAGCAAACGGGAUUAGAAACCCUAGUAGUCC